AGUCUCCGGUCACCAUUCCACACACCAAAUAAAUGGUGUCCAACUAAACCAAUGGAUGCAACAGCAGCUACGGAAUUCCCAAUCCAAAUUGUAUGAGCCAGGCACCAAAUCACCUGGCCAACCAUCUGAAAAGAAAUACAGGCAGGCUCCAGUCAGCAUCUAUGCAGUUCAGUUCUUUUAAAAAUGUGCUCUAGACCCGGAGAAUUUGCAAGUUCA